UAUAAAAGAUGGCAGAGAUGGACUCUGCUGCUUUCUUAGUUUUGCACUGGCUCAUCCUGUGUGCAGGGCGAAGCUUCUCUCUCUCCUUCAGGGCACCUUGUCUCCUUGAGCACUUUUUUUUUUUGCCAUAAGAUAAAAGUUAAACCAAAUCUUUGUAUGGGACAGUAACAGACUGGAAAGUACUGCUGGUCAUUACGACACCCAGUAACAAUGACAUAAAAAUGAACUAAGAAUAAUAUCAAGAAUGAAAAGGGAGUGGGGGAUUAGAAGGGGAGGGAAGGGGGUUUAAAAGGAAACAAGCUGUAUUACAUACAUGUGCCAACUUCCCACAACGAUUGUAAAAUGCACGUGGAGCAAACCUGUACUAAGAAAAAGUACUCUAUGGCUCGCUUUUUUCAUGAAACGCUGUUAUUGUGAUGUCCCUAGGCUCACCUCCAUGUAAUGGCCACCAGGAGGUCAUUCUACAUACUCAUGGGAGCUGAGAGAUUUCAGAAGACUGUGAAGAAACACAGAUAGGAAUUUCAUACAAAGAGAGCCCAAAAGCUACCAAAAACUCAAGGUAAAAUAGUUUUGAGAAGAAGAGACUCUGGGUCUUGGAGUAUAGCUUAUUGGUGGAAUGCUUGCUUAGCAUGAGUGAAACCCCAAUUCAAUCCCU
rnacentral:lncRNA from 1 species